GGGAGGUCGCAGCUGACGGCACAUUUUCUAUUUUAAGGUGUUGCAGUGGUGUGCUCAUCCCAUGAAAUCCUACACGAUGAUGUAACGUGGCUGUGCAAGCUUUGAAGUUUAAAGGGGAACUGAUGGUGCUGUCGGCUGCGUAACGAAAGCACUGCUGCUGGACCGAGUAGAAAUCUUUCACGGGAUGUGUGAUGAGAUGACAGCUACACAUGGCAGACCUGUGUGACUGCUCUGCUGUCCCUAAUAACAAUAACUUGAACAGUGAGUCAGGCCUGCUCUAUUGAUCAUGAAAACACAACAUCCCUCAUCUAGAGGAGAACAAAACAAGCCAAUAUAGCUUUCAAAUGCUUUACUGCCCUCUAGAAAACAUCAAUGCAGGGGUAUUGGCCCGGUUUACAUAAAA